AGCUUACACUAUAUAUAUGAAAUACCAAAACGUCGAACAGUCAAAACCAGGGACUGUAGCAGAAAGAUGAAGUCGGUUAUGUAUCUAGUCCUUCUGUUGCUUCUUCAUUGCCUUUCUGACAAUGUAGAGGGCAAAUCGAUGGGGAAAAAGAAAAAUUGUUGCGGCUUUUGAUCGGGUUGGGGCUGUAGAUGCCGCUCAUCAGAAAAGUUUAUGUCGGAGUUUGCCAAAUUUCUCAAUAAAGAGGAAAAUCAAAUACAGAGAAAUAUGAAUCCCAGCAGAGAAGAAUGAAGAAAGAUUUCCAUAACAGAAGAGAAAACAAAAUUGAAAGUUUCUCUUCCGUUCAUUCCUAUUUUAUUUUUAGACACAAAAUGCUCUUAUAGAUUCUGAAAUUCUUGAUUAAACAUUUUUUUCUCUGA